AGUCUUAUAUUCAAUAAUGAUAUAAAAUUGCAAAUUUUAAGGAAUAAUAAGUAUUAUUAAGGCUUAAAGAUAUAUUUCUUUAUAAAUAAUUUUGAAGAUUAUUAGUUUGUUUUAACUUAAAACCUUAUUAUAAAUAAAAAAAAGUUCUAAAAAUUAUACCAGUUA
rnacentral:tRNA from 1 species